GGAGGCACUGUCACUCAUCAGUGACACUGGUACACCCUCUUGGACUUUGGACUUUUGCGAACUUGCCCUCCUCUUACCCAAAAGGCGAUGAGGUGAGAGCUCGCAGCCGGGGUCUGGACCGGAGUCUCACCUGCGUUGUUGAUGAGCAGCAGGCGCUGCAGCCCCUCGGGCCUCGGGAGCUCAGCAUCGCGCUCAGAGGCAACCGCUGCAUGCCGGCCUCGGUGCCCGCAGCUGCCAGAGUGGUGUGUGGAGCGGGUGCAGGCCCGGCUGCUGCGAGCCCAGCUCCUCCUUCAGUUGCCACAGCACGAACUCACAGCGUGCGUUUAGGAGCAUCACCGAACCCGGUAACUGCAACCGGGCUAGCUGCGGGGCCAGGGCGGGACAAAAGCCCCAGGAGGCCCCGGUCAGCACGCACACAGCGCUUCCCAGCCUGCCACACUCUUUGUCUGGAGCUCAACUUCAUGGGCUGCUACCUAACCAGCGUGGGGCGGAGCCUAUCCUUGGCUUUGGACAGUGGAAGUUCAGGCCAGCAUCCACUCGUGUUUGGGUGAAAAAAGUGACGAAUAGCCAGGGAGCCAUGGCUCAGCAGGAAAUCCCAGUCCCCUUCCUAGUGCUUCUAAGUUCCCCUUGAACGCCACUCCCAUAAGUUCAGCCCCUUUCUCAAUUUCCACCCUGUUCCAGGAUCAGCUUCCCCCUCCAGGGUUGGUUUGUCUUUAUCCAUACAGGACAUACCAGUUAGAGACCAGUGACAGUCUUGGAUGAAGUCCUUGCCUGCGUAGAGCUUGUGGUCCCUUUGCACUCUGAUUAACAGAAGCCUUCUCUGGAAAAGCACAGCAGCUUCCCCAGGAGGUGCUAGGCAGACAGAACCAGAAAAUGAAGAGCACACACAGGGGAAGAGAAAGGCUGAGAAUCACAACAAUCUCACGAACAAGACUCAUCACUGUCAGUGAAAACGCUUGGUUCCUUGGGACCUGUGUACUUAUCCUUCAACCUGUGUCAUGCACUCUAGAAACAACUUCAUAAUCUCAAAUGGGAAAGAAAAAUAUCCCAGCUCUCUGGAGAUGUCUGAGGAGGACAGGAGAGAAAGACAUAGAGAUUGCUUUGAUCCAUUUUUAGUCUGAGGUGAGCUAGAGUCCAUCGGAAUUACAGGCAAGCAGGCUAGCGGCUAGCUCCUCUUUGUUUCAGAAAGUUCAAGUGGUAGGACUAGGCAGUUCUUAGCUAGGGCGGACUGGGAAGCCAACCAUCAGAGGGCACCCCUCUCAAGUUCCAAUCUUUUGGCUCUGCAGUAGUUAUAAACUGAUGUUAUCCUGCCCCCUUCUGGCCGCUCUGUAGCAACACCCUGUCCUUCCUUUUUUCUAUGCACGCCAUAAUAAAGGAACAAAAUACCAUUCAUACUUGGGCUGCCCAGGGAAAGGUCCCUGGAAGAAGUCGCAUAGACACCUUGCUGUUCCUGGUCCUCGGGUCCUCAAUGAGAGUUGGCUGGGCUGCAAGUCAAGAGUGGGAGAGAUUUAGAAGCACAAGAAGGCUGGCAUAAUGACCUUUUCUGUGCUUACAGUGCCUGCUUCCCAUGUGAGAUCUGAGUUUAUUCCCCAGAGUGCAGAGAAGACUCAGCACUUGAAGAUGGAGACAUAUACACUUCCCUUUUUUCAUGUUUUUUUUUUGAGACAGUGUUUCUAUAUUGAGCUCUGACUAUCCUGUAACUCACUCUGUAGACCAGGCUGGCCCAGAACUCACUAAGACCCAUCCCCUCCUCUUCCUCCUGGUUAAAGGCGUGUGCCAGGUGCAUUUCAAGUUCAAUGGCCUUUCGGAUGCCUGUGUCUAAAAGUCCAGGUGUUCAGCAUCUGUGAAUUGACAUUUGUACAUGUGUAGAUGUGAACAAUGCACAUAUAAAGUUGAGCACACAUGUGCAUGUGCACAAGGACACACAUGGACAAGAACACAAGUUAAAUAUAUCAUGUGAGAGUGCACAUGCAUGCAUACUAAAUAUACUGAUGAAGAAGUCCACAGUCGACUUAAGCCCCAGGUGGCCCUUUGCAAGGCCUGACCUCCUUUCUGCAGGAGCAUCCUGGUGGGUAAGACUUAGAAGACUCAGGCAGGGUGAUAAUGCUGAGAACUCCAGGAAGUUCUUCCAUGGAUGCUGGAUGGUUUGGGGUCUUACACGCGUUCUCGCGACCGGCCAGGAAGAACGCAACAAACCGGAAUCUUCUGCGGCAAAGCUUUAUUGCUUACAUCUUCAGGAGCCAGAGAGCAAGAGAGCAAGAGCUCUAUUGCUUACAUCUUUAGGAGCCAGAGCGCAAGAGCGCAAGAGUGCAAGAGUGCAAGAGAGCAAGAGCCAGAGCAAGAGAGAGAAUGGCGAAACCCCAUCCCUUUUUAAGGAGAAUUAUCCUCCGCCUAGGACGUGUCACUCCCUGAUUGGCUGCAGCCCAUCGGCCGAGUUGUCAUCACGGGGAGGGCAGAGCACAUGGGGUGGAGAACUACCCUUGGCACAUGCGCAGAUUAUUUGUUUACCACUUAGAACACAGGAUGUCAGCGCCAUCUUGCAACGGCGAAUGUGAGGGCGGCUUCCCACAUUGGGGGAGUCUCAUUACUACUGAGUAGUUUCCAAUUGGUGGCCUGGCAAUGAGAUCCCAGCUUUGUCAGCCCUGUGGGUCACCUGGAUGUCUCACUUCCAUGCAGCAUGGGACCAGGCACCUCCGAGAAGCCAAGGCAGAUGGCCCUGCACUGAGGAGAAAGGAAGGCCGCCUGGAUCAGUUCUUCUAAUGUUAACCUUCUGCACCCCUUAAUCAUGGUAAUGUCUUCUAUAAUGGAAAUAAAAUCCCAUUGUU
rnacentral:lncRNA from 1 species